AAAUGAUCAAACGAAGUAAAAGGAGCCAUAUCCCGAUACGAACACGUAAAAUGAUGAAUCUAUAAGCAUCACAUACUUGGGUUUACUUCCCUUUUUUCAUUACAAAAUUACAAUUCUAUCUUGCAGUACAUUUCGCCUCUCAUAUGGUUCUUUUAUAAAAUACAGAUAAGGACGUUUGCUAUGAUUCACAUAAAAUAAGCACUACAGGCAGGGCCGGUCCAGAGAUUUUUGAGGCCCGGGGCGACGCCAAAAAAAGUGCCCUAACUUCAUAUAAGAAAAUUAUUUAUUUUCACACAUAAGACAUUGAUAAAAUUAUACUUUGAAAAGCAUCUCAAACUCAAUAAUUUAGAAACACAAAAAGACUAAUUUAUUUUGUAUUGAGAGAAGAAAACCAGACAACUCUGGGCUUAUAAGUAGAUAUAUGAUGAGUUUUGUUUUCCAUUUGAACUUUGAAAGUGUUUUUGUAUAAAUCAUGAGGUGUUUUUUCUUAUUUACUAACCAUGUCAAUAUGGGACUAAAAAAAUAAUGAUGUUUUUGAGUCUUUAAUUGAUAUGUAUUAGUAAUGAAUGGGCAUUAAAUUAAAUAUUUUGAUAACACGUCAUAUAAUUUACAAAUUUGCACGAAAAAUUUGGUCUACGUAUUACUCAUUGUUGAAGAUUAGAUUUGAAUUGAAACGAAUAUUUAAAAAUAACAACCCACAUAGCUACUAGCUAGUAACUAAAAAUAAAUUAACAACCAAACAAAAAUUUGUAAAAAUUGAAAAAAAUAAACAUGCACAUAGCGUUUCGAACUUAGGACUUCCUGUUAAUUUUAAACAACAAAAACCAUUGCUUCUAAUUAAACUUCUUGAUCCUUUAACCAAAUUUUAUAAAUUUAUACUCUUAUGAAAAGAAAUUUGUAAAAAUUAGAAAGUAAAUAAGCACUUGUGGUGUUUUGAACCCAAGACCUCUCAUUAUUUUCAAAUGACCAAACCACCACUUCUACUUAAAUUUCUGUGUCAUUGAACCAAGUUUAAUAAAUUUAUACUCUUAUGAAAACAUAUAUAAAUAUACCACCCUAAUAAUUUUGGUGCCCCCAAUAUUUUUGGGCCCCGGACGAUUGCCCUGCUUGCACUGGGCCUGGGCCGGCCCUGACUACAGGCAAUUGUGAAGUUAUCAGUUAUAUUUUCGGUUUUGAGCAGGCCAUAAUGGAUAUCUGAAGUUAUCAGUCAUAUUUUCGGUUUUGUCCAGAUUUAUAUUGAUAUUUCCAUCCUUGAAUACACAAAUACAACGACAUCGCAAAGUGAAUUACAGCACAAAAUUUUCAGUAAGAUU
rnacentral:lncRNA from 1 species